ACAGCUGGUUGAGAUCUUUGAAUAGUAGACUUGAGAUGCGCGGGAACACUAGCGUCAGGUGAUCUUUUUUCCUAACGGCAAGGAAAGUUGUGUGAGUGCGCCACACCAGAUUUUUAACUUAUUUUUAACUGGUUGUAGAAUCAUUAUCCCCACCAGGACUUUAAUCACAAAACACAAAAAAUGUUUUUAAAUAAAAUUUCUUACAAUCGUUUAUCAUUGAUCUUCUCCUCUAACGUUAACGUGUGUUGCGAAAUAACUUCAUUUUUAUCUUAGAGGCUAACUAUUCUGAAUGUCAUAUUUUUCAUAUUUAAUCUCUUAAAUUUUGUUUAUCAAGUACUUGGAUUAUUCAUGAAAUUCAACAUCCUUAGAUUAUCAUUCAUCAACAGAAUUGUUUUAUUUGUACUACUGCUGUUAUUAUAUUAAAAAAUGUACCUAUUUCCUAUAUUUAUAACUCGUGGCUGGAGCUCAAGGCUUCUUUGUCCAGUAACGCCAAGAAAAAUAUUGUAUUUUAAUGAUUCUUUUCAUUUGUAAAAAUAUUUCUUGUAUUUGGCUAUAAAUUCAUUCCAGGAAAUAAUUCAUACUCCGCUUCUUCUAACCUUCAGACAUUCCUUACUAUAUGAUUAAUAUAAAUACUAUUUUAAUUUGUAUUCUAAUUACAGUAAUAGACUAAUAUUAUAAACGUAAUUUGUUGAAUGAUUUACGAAUGUAAUAUUCCAAUAUUUUUCAGACGAGUAUGGAAGAUUUAUUUGCCUAAGGUGUGGAAAGAGUUACAAACAGAAACGCGAUUUGAGAAUUCAUGAGAAGUUUGACUGUGGGGUGGAGCCGCAAUUUCAUUGUCCACACUGUCCUUACAGGGCUAAACGAAAACUUCACCUUAAAUACCACAUUGGAGCCAAGCAUGUCUACUUUUACUAUCCUGUAAUGUUUUCAUAUUGUUAAUAUUCAUUGUUGUCUUUAAUUAAAUUUAUCUUGUCAUUGUUUUAUUUAGUUUCACUUUUCCUCUCAGGGAUUCAUGAAGGUUGAACAGGGAUCAAUAAUACAAUUUUAAUAUUGAAAUGUUCAUGCUUAAUCUACCAGAUCUUGAACAACGUUAAACAAAUAUUAAUAUGUGAAUAAAAAACAAUCAAUUAAGCAGUACUGAAGCAGACCAUAAGCUUCUCUAUGAGUAAUAUCUCGGGUCCUCCUCUUGAAAUAAAAAACAACUUUUGGAAUGUAGGGAAAAUACACAUUUGCUUAUGGAAAUAUGAUUUUAGGUACCGACCAUACCGUACCGGUACUUGACUACUGAUAUGCAGUGCACGUUUCAUGUAUGUGAACCUUGUCCAAUAUUACUGGUUUCCAGACCAGUAAUAUAGUGAUUAAUAUGUAUGUAGUGUACAGUUUGAAAAAGUGAGUAUUUUAUUUUAUUUACAGGGAGUAUAUUACACUCAUUGUUUAUUACACGUGCCGUGCCGACUACGCUACUUCGAUUUGUAUUUCAGUUACAUUGAGUAGAGUCCUUGGAUAAAGUUUAAGUCACAGUUUGCAGUGAUGCUGAUAAUAAUAAUAGUUUUAACGGUACUUUUAUACAUUUCCCUCUGGAGUAUUUUACAUCACUCUGGAUUAAGUUAUAUUUCCUGCCAAAUUAAACUUGUUUGUGUUGUUCCAAGUACAACACAAAUUAAUUUACUUAUUUAUGAAUGCUAUUUUUCAGACCAGUACGGAAGAUUUAUUUGCCACAGAUGUGGAAAAAGUUACAAACAGAAACGGAAUUUGAGAAUUCAUGAGAAGUUUGAAUGUGGAGUGGAGCCCCGAUUUGAAUGCCGACACUGUCCUUAUAGGGCUAAACGCAGCACCACCCUACGCACUCAUCUACUCUUGAAACAUUACCAGUCCUCAUUUUCGGAUGAUCGUCACAGUUGCUACAAAUGUGGAAAGAGCUACAAGUUCAAAAAAGGACUCGCCUCGCAUCUGAAGUACGAGUGUGGUAUGGAACCACAAUUUGCUUGUCCUUUCUGUCCACAUCGCACUAAACAGAAAGGCUCGCUUCGUCUUCAUGUAGUUCUAACUCACGCCCGCAACAUUUGAAAAUUCAACUCUUAGAAAAAACAAAAUUUAAUUAUUAUUUUGUUCCACGUACGAUACUUUGGUUUAACCAAAUGUUGUCCAGAUGUAAGACACUAUCAAUUAUUAUUUAUUUAUAUUUUUUUUGUAUUUUCAUGCUUUUGUUACAUGUACAGUACUAUACGCUACUUUCAUUUGUAUUUUAGUUAGAAAAGGAAUUUUUAUUUUGUUAUAUCACAAUCAAUUAUUAUUUAUUUAUAUUUUUUGUAUUUUCAUGCUUUUGUUACAUGUACAGUAGAGAGGCUACUAUACGCUACUUUUCAUUUGUAUUUUAGUUAGAAAAGGAAUUUGUAUUUUGUUAGAAAGGCAGAAUCUACACAGCUCUUCUCAACUAAGUCUAGGCUAUCUAAGUUACACACUACUCUUGGAAAUUAAAAAAAAAACUAUCAUAUACUUAAAAUGCAAUGAAUUAUUUGAUUUUUUCUGUAAAUAUUUGGGAUUUAUUUUCUAUUGAAUGUUCUCCGAUUGAAUGGAGUAGUAUACUUUUUUGUUAUCUCAAACACACUAUUUGAAGAACAAUCAAGUAUCCGUAUAUUCAUAUAGAAAUAAAUAAAUAUUAUUGGAAUUUUAUUUAUGUUGUAGCCCAGUUGGGAUGUAUAACUAUUAUUAGUACCUUAUGUCAUUUUAUGUUUUAAGAGUUAAACUUUUUCUACUCUGUUUUUCAGUUAUUUCUCCUUUAGUUUCCCUGUGACACCAUUUCACUUUCAAAAAUUGAUUAUUAGGCCUACUUUAUUAUUGCGAUAUUGGAUAAGGUGAAUUGGGCAAUCAACAAUUCAUAUUUAGGGGUGCUUUUUGUGUCACAAGAGGGCUGCUCCACGUUUAUUUUGUGACAAUGACAUAUACUUCUAUGAAUUUAUGUUCAAAUAAUAAAAUAUUAUUCUACUUGAGUA
rnacentral:lncRNA from 1 species